rnacentral:rRNA from 1 species
GUGGGGAAUCUUCCACAAUGGACGAAAGUCUGAUGGAGCAACGCCGCGUGAGUGAAGAAGGGUUUCGGCUCGUAAAGCUCUGUUGUCGGGGACGAAUGUGCAGUAUUUGAAUAAAGUAUUGUAAUGACGGUACCUGACGAGGAAGCCACGGCUAACUACGUGCCAGCAGCCGCGGUAAUACGUAGGUGGCAAGCGUUGUCCGGAAUUAUUGGGCGUAAAGGGAGCGCAGGCGGGAAGGUAAGUCGGUCUUAAAAGUGCGGGGCUCAACCCCGUGAUGGGAUCGAAACUAUCUUUCUUGAGUGCAGGAGAGGAAAGUGGAAUUCCUAGUGUAGCGGUGAAAUGCGUAGAUAUUAGGAGGAACACCAGUGGCGAAGGCGACUUUCUGGACUGUAACUGACGCUGAGGCUCGAAAGCCAGGGGAGCGAACGGGAUUAGAUACCCUGGUAGUCC